UACGAAGGGGGCUAGCGUUGUUCGGAUUUACUGGGCGUAAAGCGUACGUAGGCGGCUUUCCAAGUCAGAGGUGAAAUCCCGGAGCUCAACUCCAGAACUGCCUUUGAUACUGGAAAGCUUGAGUUCGGGAGAGGUGAGUGGAACUGCGAGUGUAGAGGUGAAAUUCGUAGAUAUUCGCAAGAACACCAGUGGCGAAGGCGGCUCACUGGCCCGAUACUGACGCUGAGGUGCGAAAGCGUGGGGAGCAAACAGG
rnacentral:rRNA from 1 species